AAGGAAACAAGGACAUGAGCAUUUAUCAAGCGCUUGUGCAUGCUUUUGUACCAUAGUUCUUUACACAUCAUGUUUUCUAACCCUCACCACAACCCUGCUUUGUGAUAUUAUCUUCUCCCUUUUUCCAGGUGAGAGAACUAAGUUGUGUGACUCCAAAAGAGCAGAAACCAGGAACUAGAGAAUGGAGGACCAAAGAUCAGAGAACAAACAGGUCUCCUGCCCGGUCCCCAUACUGCACUCCAUCCACCCCCGACGAGAG
rnacentral:lncRNA from 10 species